UGGAUAAAUAUAAUUUUGGGGCAAUUUUUUUCCCCGUUUCUCGCUCUUUUUUUUUUUAUAUAUAUAUAUUUCUGAUUAAUUUUCUUAUAUCAAUUUGUUUUCUCUCUUUAAUGUGUAGAGAUGAAUUUUCAUAAUAUGAAAUGGAAAGAACUGCAAGCACUAAGCAAAUGAAACAUGGAAUUUCAGGUUCAUAAGAAAUUUGUGAUCAAAUUAUGAAGGAAUCUACAUUGUGAGAGAAGAGGACAAUUUUUUGAACGAGUUCAAUAAUAACUUGAGUUGGAUCAGAAAAGACAUUUAUUUCUAGCUAGAGCAAGUCAUACAUUAUAUAAAAAUGAUGUUGUUGAUGAUUUGAAGAAGUUGAGGGGCUGCUGAACUUUCAACAAUAAAGAAGGUUGCUAAAAUUAGCAGUAAAGUAGGAUGUAACUAUUUUAUUUCUUCUGCAUAUAUUACUGUAAUAGUAGUUUUUGUUUGUGUCACUGAAAAUGUUAUGUUUACUAACUCAUGUUUAUGUCAUUGAAGAUAUGAAUAUCUUAGAAUUGAAGCUUUUGAAAAUGCAUUUGAUAAAAGUGGAUAGUGAUGGAAGUAUAAAAGUUUAGGAUUGAAGCUUAUGCUUUUUACUGUUUAUUGUAUUGUAUUGUAUCAUACUAUACUUUUUUAAUAAAAAUAAUGUUCAAAUAGA